UACGUAGGGCGCAAGCGUUAUCCGGAAUUAUUGGGCGUAAAGAGCUCGUAGGCGGUUUGUCGCGUCUGCCGUGAAAAGUCCGGGGGCUCAACUCCGGAUCUGCGGUGGGGUACGGGCAGACUAGAGUGAUGUAGGGGGAGACUGGAAUUCCUGGUGUAGCGGUGAAAAUGCGCAGAUAUCAGGAGGAACACCGAUGGCGAAGGCAGGUCUCUGGGCAUUAACUGACGCUGAGGAGCGAAAGCAUGGGGAGCGAACAGG
rnacentral:rRNA from 1 species